rnacentral:lncRNA from 1 species
AUACUGGCAUUUAGAAAGGCAACUGAGUACUACCCAUCGAAAUUCAAAAAGUGUACAUUCUUUGAUCCACUUCUAGAGAUCUUUCCUAUAGGAAAACUGGUUUGGCUUCUUUCCUUCUUCCAGAACCAAGUGUAAAUGCCUCAGUCUAGACCCACGGCCCUUCACAGUAAGUAUCACUACUGAGUGGGCAGUGCCUUGCAGGGGCUCUCUAGCCACCCACUCUUCCAACUCCUUAUCCAAGUCCCCAUUCCUUCCACCAGCAAGCUGAGGGCUGCCCUAGGCUCUGAGGACAAUCCUGUUCCCUGUCAGGAGGAAUUUAAGGAGCUUUAGUUCUCUGGUGCAGGCUCCACAAUGUCUAGUCAACUGCAUUUCUGCUUUCAUUCCCAUCUCAGGCUGGGAAUUUGGCUUCCACCUCCUUUUGUGACCAAAACUGCUGGUGUCUCAGUCCUAGUGAGCCUCGUUGCUUGCCAGGCCCUUUCUUCACUCCACCUCUGCCCGCAAGGGGCUGAAUUCCUCCCACUGAAUCCCACCCUGCAGCUGGAAGGAACCCUGCUUCCUAUUGCCACAUUUUUCUGAUGCCAAACACCUUUCUGGAAAAUAAAUGUCUCAUGAGUGAGUGAACGAAUUUCUAGAUUUCUACAUACUCCAUUGCUGUGUACAACUGAAUACCCACUGCCACCUCUUGCUGAGUCUCCCAGGGAGUGGGUAUUUGGGAUGUAUCAGUGCAUGAUUCUAGAACAGCAGUUCUCAACCAGACGUUAUUUUAUCACGACCACCCACACCAGGGACAUUUGGCAAUGUGUGGAGACAUUUUUGUUUGUCACAACUGAGGGCAUGCUACAGGCAUCUUGUGCGUUGAGGCCAAUGAUGCUGCUAAACAUUGUCCAGUGCACAGGGCUGCUCCCACAACUAGCUGAGGUUGAGAAACACUGUUCUAGAGAAAUCAAAAGCACUUUCUGCAGCACUACAAACCAAAUCAAGCUGAAAAUUACCAACAGAGAAGGAUGAUGCUUCUGUUUUCAGUAAAACACCCUUUUCCCAUUCCAAUUUUCAAAAUUCUUGCUUAUUACAGAAAAACUGGAAAAUAAAGAAAAGCAAAAGAUCACCUGUGAUACCACUACCACUGUGUAGUUUUCCAUAGUUGUGAUGUCAUAUUACACAACAUUUAUAAUCUGCUUUUCUACAUAAUGUAUUAACCAAGUUUUUCUCCAUAUUACUAUAAAGUUCUUUAGACCUCACUUUCAAUUCUAUGUGAGAUUCCUCCUCAUGAUUUCACAACAGUGUAUAAUCAAGGACAGAAAAUCAGUAUUGAUGGGGCAAGCCAUGGGACUGGAAGGCAGCAGGCAGAUGUCAGGGUUGGGGAUUACUGGCUCAGAAGCAGGAAAUCUCAUGUAGAAGCCCAGAACUUUCAAGAGAUAAGAAGUAGAGAGAUUCUGGUUUAAAGAGAGAUGACAGAAGCCCUGAAUGUCCUCUCUUCUGCUCCCCCAGAUACCUUCAUGGACUACAGGGCUGUACAUACGGUUAGACUCCUUGACCUCAAUGGUCAUGGGAUACAUGAACUUCAGGCUUAAUCUCUGUGUGAGAAAAACAGCAUGAAGAUAAUCAACUCUAUGUCAGAAGAAAUUGGCAACACUACUAACCACGAGUAAUGCACACCGAAGGGUUGUGAAGAGGACGUUACUAUUUGUACACUGUUUUGAGCAGUGCCUGCUGUACAGUAAGGACCAUAUAUGUGUUUAUAAAAUAAAUCUUAGUUGCUAUAGGCAACACCACGCA